rnacentral:siRNA from 1 species
UAGUGGAUGUGUGGACCGAG